UGGGUAUAAACGGAGGAAGAGAUCUAAGCUCACUGGACACUUGAACACCUCUCAAGUUCUGCUGCAAAUAGAAGGCUGGCCACUGGCCAUCUACAGAUAUCUACUCGAGACCUCCUCAAGACCUUGGAAUAUGAGAAUGGAUGGAGGCAGACUGUGGAGGUAAGGGCAAAUUAAACCUUGGCUGAAGUCUGCAUGGAAAGGAGAACACUGUGCAGAAAAGCUAAGAAGUACCAGAGAGACAAGGACAGCCAUUCAGCAGGCGUUCUCACAAGAAAUUCAACCAAGAGAAGACCCAGAGUUUCCCAUAUAGUCCAGCUACUUUGAGAGCAUAGCAGUCUACUGGAGGAUUGAACCAAGGUGACUCGGUCGCUCUCUGCUCGCUCCACAGAGAUAUGAAUAAUGUCUAAAGCAUGGUGGAAUUGGAAGGAAAAAAAGGCAUUCAGAAGUUGAGCUUGGAAAAAAUUGUGUAUUCAUGAAAAGAAGAAACCCUUUGAAAAUAGAAGCAGUAACCUUGAGCUGCAGUUAUUUUGUAUCAGCCAGCUAUGAAAAAACUUGUUGGGGAUUCAGAAAUUAUUUUGCUAUUCCUCAAUAAUAAGUAAUGAUUGCUUGAAUAAAGUCAUCCU